CUCCUUCCUCAAUGAAAGUGAUGCAAGAACUCGCAGUCUGUUGCUACGUCGCUCAUUUUGAAAUCGUCAACGGCCGCGCGUAGUCUCUGUCGUUUAGUCUUCUAUAUAGUUCACACGAGAUAGCACGUUUAACAAAUAAUGAAAGUUGCCGAGACGCUGUCCAUUUUCGCCUGCAUCUUCCUGGUCACGUGGUCUGCGGGAGACGGCGCUCCUCAGUGGCGCCCGCAGGGACGCUUCGGAAAGCGCUUCAGCGGCCCGAGCAACAUAAUAUUCGCCUUACAGUCCGCCACUUUGUCUUCGGUACCCAACAGCAAUGACCAACUGCAAGCACUUUUCAUGGACGAGUCCGAUCAGGACACGGAGGACACGCCUACCCUCGAAGAUUUCAUAAACGUCAACGGAAAGCCCGACAUAUCAUCAAUGACGUCAUCGCGGUGGCCAUUUGCAAGCGGACGAGUAUGCAUAGAAACGGUUAUAACCAGAGUAUUCCGGUGUCAACGGUAAUUUGCUGGCAUCUUCUAGAACUAUUUUUGUUUCCUUGUUUGGAAUCAGUCAGUUAUUGUGCCAUUUAAAACAAACGGGCUAAAAUAUUCAUAAUGCACGUUAAAUGUAUUAUAUAAGGUUAAAGUUUUAAAACUGUUAAGCUGACAGCAACAAUUCAUCGUUAGAUUGCGCGGUUAAAGUUGAGCGUGAACGGAAUAUAAAUUACCAAUAUGUUUCACAAGGUACUGGACAGUGUUCCUGCAUUUAAUAUCACAAACAACUGUGUUUCUCUGUAU